rnacentral:rRNA from 1 species
UGGGGAAUAUUGGACAAUGGGCGAAAGCCUGAUCCAGCCAUGCCGCGUGUGUGAAGAAGGUCUUCGGAUUGUAAAGCACUUUAAGUUGGGAGGAAGGGCAGUAAGCGAAUACCUUGCUGUUUUGACGUUACCGACAGAAUAAGCACCGGCUAACUCUGUGCCAGCAGCCGCGGUAAUACAGAGGGUGCAAGCGUUAAUCGGAAUUACUGGGCGCAAAGCGCGCGUAGGUGGAUCGUUAAGUUGAAUGUGAAAGCCCCGGGCUGAACCACAGAACUGCAUCCCAAACUGGCGAGCUGGAGUAGGGCAGAGGGGGGUGGAAUGUCCUGUGGAGCGGUGAAAUGCGUAGGUAUAAGAAGGAACACCAGUGGCGAAGGCGACCACCUGGGCUCAGACUGACACUGAGGUGCGAAAGGGUGGGGAGCAAACAGG